UACGUAGGGGGCAAGCGUUGUCCGGAUUUACUGGGCGUAAAGAGCGCGUAGGCGGAACGAUCAGCGGGGCCGGAAAGCCCCCGGCUCAACCGGGGAAGGGGCCGCGAACUGUCGUUCUUGAGGGGGAGAGAGGAGAGCGGAAUUCCUGGUGUAGCGGUGAAAUGCGUAGAGAUCAGGAGGAACACCCAUGGCGAAGGCAGCUCUCUGGCUUCACCCUGACGCUGAGGCGCGAAAGCGUGGGGAGCGAACGGG
rnacentral:rRNA from 1 species